AGCAAUGAAGAAAAAAAUUCACUCCAUGCUAAAUAUUAAGGUGCUUUGCAUCUGAUGAUUACAACAUGUAUCAUUAUUAACCUUUCGCCUGAGCUAUC
rnacentral:snoRNA from 1 species